UCGAGUAGGCCCCAAGCAAGGAAGGAGGAAGCAGGCAGCAGACCCUCUGCCCAGACCAGACCAUCCAGAACAGCUAUUGCUAGGAUAACUUUCAAAUCAAUAUGUAAUGGACCCUUUGAAACAUCUUCAAGCUAAGUACAUUAUAUUACAUAUCGCCUAUAACAGUGAACCACACAGAGAUUCAUUUUCAAGUAAUGUAAUCUAAAACUUGUAAAACCUCUAAAGAGUUUUCAGUGAUGCUUUUUACUUAAAUUGUAUGGAUAAAUUCUCAUGGAGACUUCAGUCAUUCAGAAACUACAAUUAUCUAAUGCAGGUUAGUUCUGCUUAAACACUAAAUCAGGGGUGGGGAACCUUGGCCCUCCAGCUGUUUUUGAACUACAAUUCCCACCAUCCCCAGCUGUGGCUGGGGAUGAUGUGAGUUGUAGUUCAAAAACAGUUCCCCACCCCUGCACUAAAUGGAGGAUCUAAGAUAAGAGCAACACAUUGGUGGCUGUGUUGAUAAUGAUAUGGAGAACAAGAAAGCAUCAGAUUGAGAUGAAUAUAUAACCUAAACUUUUCUCCUGUGGAAUGUUUCCCCAUCACACAGGCAGAUUUUAGAUACCAGAUUCUGGGAGCAUAAAGGGAGAUGGCGGAUGCCUUCAUGUCGUUGAGACAUAUGGCUGGCCUCUGUGGGAAAUGAGAUAGAAUAACAGAAGCAUCCCAAACUGUGAUCUGCCAGCUGUUGUUGGACUACAACUGCCUUUAUCCCCAAUCACAAUGGUCAGUAGCCAGGGAUGAUGGGAGUUGUAGGUCAACAUCUGCAGGAGAGUCACAGUUUGAUACCCCUGGUAAAUCAACCCUGGACUGAUGCAAAAGGCUGUUGUAUCCAUGUUCUUAACUGUGCCCUGACAGGAAAAAUAGAUGGCAGUUUUAUUUCAACUUAAUGUUACAGUAUCCUAGUAUUUUGACUUCCUGGCCCCUUAAGAGGGGAAGAAAUUUGACCUAGAGGUUCUAUUAAAACUAGCACAAAAUCCCAAGCCUGGGAGCUCAUAUCAUCAGCUUCUCAGGGCUAUGGUUAUUUAUUUAUUUAUUUAUUUAUUUGAGCUUUAUUUCUUUAUUAUUUAUAUAAAAAUCUAUGUGCUCCAAGGGGAAAGCAAGAAAGGAAAAACACAGGAAACUCACUCCAUCAGGUGCUGAAGGGACCACCAAUCAUCUGUGUGAAUGCUGCUGUGGGAGGGGGGUUGCUUCUUCCCCUCCCUUCCUUUCCCUUCCCCUUCCCCUGGUAUUUUAAAUUGUAAAUUGUGUUGCGUUCAGGCACAGUGAAUAAACUGUGAACUGUUCCCUUAAAUACAGCCCCGAUGCGAGACUGUCUGGCCACAUUUGCACGUAUCAUGAAACUAGAGUCCAUUCACCUCCAGUUUCAGGAGCUGUACAUCCAAAUGCAAGCAACCAAAGUUAAGUGAGAAAAUGGACCUGUGGUCUCCCUCUCCAGACUCCAAUCUGUACCUUCAGUUCUGAGUGGAGUUUCAUUUCCUUGAAUUCCAGUUCUGUGGUGCCAGCGUUACGUCUCAAUGCUGGCACCGCAGUUUCCCCCUCAUGCAACCAGAGUUGAAGGAGGAAGCUCCUCCCUCUCUCUGGAUGCUAAUAGCUGCCAGAAUUGUCCUUCAUUUAAAAAGGAAGACCCCACAGCCAGUUCCCCCUCUUCUCUGCAGUCAGCAAGACUGCAGCAAGGGAACUCUCCUGUAUGUCUAAAGCGGAUGAGAGAGCAGGAGGAGGGGAUGCGGAACCGUGGGUCCAUUGGACUCAUGGUUACAUCUGAAGAUGGCCAAUAUCUUAUCCUGGAGUAAGAGAAACUCUGCUACAGGCCUGUGUAGCUCUGCCUAGAAGCUGUAUAGAGCCACGUAGAAUAAACUGGUUACAUGACCAGCACUCUUGUGGAGCCCGUAUCAGUCAGCAAGGUUGAACAGUUAACACAAAAACCGGCUUGAGUAUUUUAACAUAGAUAGAUAGACACACACACACACACACGAUAUUGACAAUAAGUCAGGUAAAGGUAAAAUGUGCCGUCGAGUCAGUGUCGACUCCUGGCAACCACAGAGCACUGUGGUUGUCUUUGGUAGAAAAGAGGAGAGGUUUACCGUUGCCUGCACAGUGUGCGAUGGUGCCUUUCAGCAUCUUCCUAUAUUGCUGCUGUCCAAUAUAGGUGUUUCCCAUAUUCUGGGAAACAUACCAGCAGGGAUUCAAACCAGCAACCUCUGGCUUGCUAGUCAAGUCAUUUCCCCGGAGCUAACAAGGUAAUAUUACAAACAAACUGCCUAGGACUAGGACAAGGCCUGAUAUCACUAGUCAUUUUAGCUUUUGUCUGUGAUUGACUUCUGCUGACCACACCUAAUCAUUAGUGCCAUCUCCAGGGAGUGGAAGGACCCUUGGGUCAGGCUGCCUGAGUGGGCUCCCUUCAAAUAUCUGUGAGCCAGCCCAUCCCUCCCACAGCACCAGCUGAGGGCAGGAAACAGACAGGUAAGUGGCGGCGGCAGCCACCAUUGCUGACCUUCCUCCUUGACAUCACCACUUUGCCUGUCACCAUCCCAGAGUAAAGAUAAAACUCUUAAAGAAAGGGCAAGCAGAUGGCAGUGACAAGGAGAAGAAAGCCACAGAGAGCUCCCGUCAGCUACGUUGAUUACUGCCUGCUAAUUGUCUUGGGUUGUUUUAAGUAUCACCAUUGAAUGCUACUGAGCUCAAUGUCUUUUAAAUAAGCAAAAAGCAGCUGUAGAAGUAUUAACAUAAUUCCCAAGCUCAUUCUGGAUGUUCAAAUUAUGUUUGGCAAACAAGACGGCUAAUCAACUGUGCUGCAUUAGGUAGGGUUGGCCCCAAGGUGCACGGAGGCACGUGGUCCAACCCUCUCAUGGUACUAAAAGCAUCUCAGACUGAAUGUGAGAGGAUGUGUGUUUGAACGUAUCCCCACAUCAAAAGGACCCUACAUGCAGAAGCCUCACACAUCAUAGGGAAGGUAUCUUAGGUGUUUUCACUGAGGUGGUAAACUUGUGAUGGGUCUAUAUAUCACUUUGGACUACUGGUGAAGACUCCUAGGAUUAAAUGUACCGCCAUAAGAACAGGACCAUGCUCAUACUGAGGCAAACUGAAGUGGUCACCUCAGACAGCCAAUUAUCAGGAAGCAGAGAGUGGCAGCUGCCACCCUCUGCAUGCUACUGUCACCUCAUCUGCCCUUCUGGCCCACCAGGAAGGGCAGAUGAGGAGUUCAGCAGCUUGCUUGGCAGCAGUGCACAAAAAGCUACUCAGUGUGCUUCCUUGGUGCACAGUAUUUGAAAAGGGGGAGAGCAGAGGAGAGGAGAGGAGAGGAGAGGGACUUUUGCUGAAAAGCAGUAUAUAAAUAUUCAUAGUAGUAAAUAUUCAUAGUAGUAGUAGAGGAGGGUGGGGUCUAGGUGUUUUAGCUCAGCAUUCUCUUCUCCUCCACGCUUCCUGUUCUGCUCCAUCCUCCUGCCAUUCCUUUCAAAUACAGCACACUGAAGAGGAGAAUGGAGUGGCUCUUCAUUUGCUUCCACCGAGCCAGGCAGGGGUGGGCAGUGGAAGCUGAGCAUAGAGGCAGGGCUGGCAGACAUGGGUGAGGGAAGCAUUUGAUGCCCCAACUCUAUCAUCCAAAGGUCUUGGGCUGCCCUGCAUAACCUUACACAAGAAAACUCUCGUAUCAGUGAGAAGACUAGGCUAGAACCGUACUUCCUGACAGACUUCUUGUCAAUCGGUAGGGAUUUUUCCCCCCAAUUUUUUUUCCAAAUUCAAUUUUUAUUAAUUUUAACAAUAGUAAUAUUAUCAUUCAUUACAAAUACAUACAAAAAAGGUGGACUUCCCGCUCACAUUUCUUCGUGAAUCAUCAACUAUAAAAUUUACCCUUACGGCUUCCAAUCUUCUUUAAAACAUUCCAAGUUUUGAUCUCUUAAUAGUGCUGUGAGUUUUGUCAUCUCUGCAAAUUCCAAAAUUUUUAUCAGCCAGUCUUCUUUUGAAGGCUGUUCACUGGUCUUCCAUUUCUGUGCAUAUAUAAUUCUAGCCGCCGUAGAGGCAUACAUAAAAAAUGUUAAAUUAGUUGUAGAAAUUGCACCUUGUGUUACUCCCAGCAGGAAGGAUUCUGGCUUCUUAGGAAAUUUUCUUUAAUUCAUUAUAUAUCACAUCCCAAUAGGCUUUAGCCUUCCCACAGGUCUACCACAUAUGAAAAAAAUGUGCCUUCAAAGUGUCCACACUUCCAGCAUUUGUUUGAAACAUUUUUAUAAAUUAAUGCCAUUUUUUUUGGUGUCAGAUACCAUCUAUACAUCAUUUUAUAAUAAUUUUCUUUUAUAGCAUAACAUGCAGUAAAUUUUAAAUCAUUUUCCCAUAACUUUUCCCAGGCUGCCAUUUCUAUAUUACGCCCCACAUCUUGAGCCCACUUUAUCAUAGUCGAUUUAACCACUUCCUCUCUUGUCUCCUCCAAAAGCAACAGUUUAUACAUUUUAGAAACUAGUUUUUCAACAUUUUGACAUAAUUCCUUCUCAAAAUUUGAAAUCUGGUCCUCAAAUCCAACUUUAAGAUCUUUCUUAUACAUCUCAUUUAACUGAUGAUACUGAAACCAAUCUCUAACCAAAUCUUGUAUUUCAGUUAAACUUUUUAACUUUUUAACAAUCCUUUUCCUGAAAAUGUAACAAAUCCCUAUAGGUACCCCAACCCGUUUGCAUAUUUACUUCUUUACGUGAUAAGGCUUCAAUCGGAGAUAUCCAUAACGGAGUUUUAGGUUCAAACCAAUUUUUGUAUUUUAACCACACCCUCAUUAACCACACCUUCUCACAUAGUGGUGAUACAAAUGCCAUCCAAACCUUCUGUCAAAUCCUUCCAAAUCAAGAAUUCUAGGGUUUCUUAAUGUUAUCCAUUCUUUUAACCAUGUCAAACAAACAGCAUCAAAAUAUAACCUUAGGUCUGGCAAGGUAAGACCACCUCUUUCCUUUGCAUCUGUUAAAUUCUUAAAAUUAAUUCUUGGUCUUUCCCCCUGCCAAACAAACUUAGUUAUGUCCUUCUGCCAUUGCUUGAAACAAGUUAGAGUGUUAAUUAUGGGAAUAGUCUGAAAGAGAAACAACAUUUUAGGCAAGACAUUCAUUUUCACCACUGAAAUUCUUCCCAUUAAAGACAAAUUCAUUUUAGACCAUCUUUGUAGAUCAAUUUUCACUGAAUUCCAUAUUUUAACAUAGUUGUUUAUGAACAACAAGGAGUUGUUAUUUGAUAACCAGACCCCCAGAUAUUUAACUUUCUUCUCCACUUUCAACUCACUUAUUUCAGAGAAUCUGUCCUUGGUUUUCUGAUCCAUAUUUUUAGUUAAGACCUUGGUCUUGGUCUUAUUUAUAUAGAAUCCAGCCAGCUGACCAAAUUGUUGUAUUUUAUCCAAGAGUCUUUCAAUCUUGUCCAUUGGAUUCUCUAAAAACAGCACAACAUCAUCUGCAAAGGCUCUCAACUUGUAAUCCUGUUUCCCAAUUUUGGGACCAUGUAAUUUAUCAUCUUCUCUGAUAGUUCUACAAAGCACUUCUAGAACCAAUAUGAAAAGCAAUGGGAAAAGUGGACAUCCUUGUCUAGUCCCUUUUUGUAUUACACAGUCGUCUGAUAGCUCCCCAUUUACAAUAAUCUUAGCAUAUUGCUCCGAAUAAAUUGUCUUAAUUGCCCUAAUAAAAUUGUUGCCAGCAGUCAUUACCUCUACUAAUCUCCACAUAAAUUGCCACAAAAUAUUGUCAAAAGCUUUCUCUGCAUCCAGAAAAAUCAUCGCCAUCUGUUUAUCAUUAUGUUUUUCAUAGUACUCCAAUACAUUCAAGACUGUUCUGACAUUGUCUCUCAGUUGUCUCUUUGGCAAAAAUCCAGCUUGAUCUUCAUGAAUAAAAUGCCUUAAUAUAACCUUCAUUCUUCUUGCCAAAAUGGCAGCAAAAAGUUUGUAAUCAUUAUUUAAAAGUGAAAUUGGUCUAUAAUUUUUAACUGAUGUUAGGUCUUGAUCUGGUUUUGGGAUUACUGCAAUUUUUGCAUACUUCCACGAAUCCGGCAUAAUCCCUUUUUGUAGAAUAUCAUUCAUAGUCCAUUGAAGAGGUUGUAAGAUUUGAUCUUUAAAUGACUUAUAGUACAAAGCUGACAGUCCAUCAGGCCCUGGGGCCUUGUUGGGCUUAACUUGAUUUAUUGCUUCUGUUACUUUCCAUAAUUGUUAUCGGAGCAUUCAUAAUUUCUAUUUGUUCCUUAGUAAGUUUUGGAAUAUUUUUGGUCCUGAGAAACUGCUCAAUUUUUUAAUCUUCAACUAUUUUGCCUUUAUAUAAUUCUGAAUAAUAUUUUAAAAAUUCCGCUCUUAUUUCCUUUCCAUCAUAAGAGAUCCCAUUUUUUGUAAGUAUUUUGGAUAUAUAACUUUUCUUCUUCUCAGAUCUAAUUUUCCAAGCUAACAACUUGCCUGAUUUGUUUGCGAACUCGAAUGUCCUUUGCUUAACAUAUUUCAAAUUCCGUUCAAGUUCAUUUGCUAUCAACAUAGAAAGUUGUUGUUGCAGCAUUUUGAUAGCUUGAGUGACCGUCUUCUUAUCUUUAGCCCAUAAUAAUUCCCUUUCCUUUUUGGAGAUCUGCAUCAAUAAUAUCUCUUUUUUCAAUCCUCUUUGCUUUUUAAAGUAUGAAUUUUGCUGUAUAAAAAAACCUCUCAUAACCGCUUUACUCGCAUCCCAGACAAUUUUAUUGUCCAUUCCCUGGUUUAAAUUCAAUUCAAAAUAGUCCUUUAAUUUCUUUUUAGCUUUCUACACAACAUCUGGUAAUAGGUAGGGAUUUUUUAAUAUAGAGAAGCAUGACAUGAAUAUAGAGAAGCAUGAAUUCCCAGGGCAGUGUGCAACUACUAUUUGUGAGAGCUGUGAGAACACAAACAUGACAUCUACUAUGUGUGAGAACUAUGCCAGAGCAAGGCUGUUAAUGGAGACACUCAUUCUUGUUCCUCCAGCUUUUAUAGCCUACCUUUCCAUUCUUGAAAAAUGCCCAAGGUGGUUUACAACAAAACGUACUUUUGAAAAACAGUAUCUAAAAGCAAAAGAAUAUCCGAAACAAUCACAAUAAUACAAGCAGCUCUGCUUUCCCCAUGGAGUACAAAAAGUGUGUUGGCAAGGGCAAACAUGCAUUCCAGAGAUUUGGAGGAAGGAGGAGAAUUGAAAUACAAUAGGCAAUAAUCAUGCACCAAAGUCCUUGACUCCAUUAAGAAGUGUCCUUGGUCCUAAUCUAUGGAACAGUGAGCUUGAAAAGAAGCUGAAGCAAAUCUACCAGAUGAAGAGAGUGAAAGCUGAUCUGGAGGCUUUAAAAGAGAAAAGAGUCAUCAUCUGAAGAUGUGGAUAAGGUGGAAUGUAUUUAUGUUCGCACUCCCACCUGCCAGCCCUCCUGCCUGCCUCAGAGGAGAAAAGUCUCUCGGCCAUGACUGAGCUGUAAUAGUUCACAGCAUUCCUCUGGGAAGGAAUGAGGUAGUAUAUAACCCCUAUUCCUUAGACUCUACUUACCUUCCCCCCUCAUUUCUAUUAAAAUCCAAAUCUGUCCAUCUCUCUCUAUCUCUUGCCAGCCUUGAGUAAACUUAAUUCAGAAAAUCAAUCCAAAUUGCACCUCCUUUUGAGCUGUAACAUAGUCCUUUGUAACUUGUUGGUUUUGCUAGUUAAGUAUUGAUGCUCCUAACCAUUAUUUUCUCUUUCUGUACCCCUAAACUGUCAAAUAAAACCUCACCUUGUUUUUGAACUUUAA